GACGAACGCUGGCGGCGUGCUUAACACAUGCAAGUCGAACGGAAAGGCCCUGCUUGCCGGGUACUCGAGUGGCGAACGGGUGAGUAACACGUGGGUGAUCUGCCCUGCACUUCGGGAUAAGCCUGGGAAACUGGGUCUAAUACCGGAUAGGAGCCAUUUUUAGUGUGAUGGUUGGAAAGUUUUUUCGGUGUAGGAUGAGCUCGCGGCCUAUCAGCUUGUUGGUGGGGUAAUGGCCUACCAAGGCGGCGACGGGUAGCCGGCCUGAGAGGGUGGACGGCCACAGUGGGACUGAGAUACGGCCCAGACUCCGACGGGAGGCAGCAGGGGGGAAUAUUGCACAAGGGGCGCAAGCCUGAUGCAGCGACGCCGCGUGGGGGAUGGCGGCCUUCGGGUUGUAAACUCCUUUCGCUAGGGACGAAGCUUUUUGUGACGGUACCUAGAGAAGAAGCACCGGCUAACUACGUG
rnacentral:rRNA from 1 species